GGUGACCUGCGGAGGGAUCAUUACACAAAUAUGAAAGCAGACCCUCAUUGGGGCGUAACGUCGCGCCGUGUCCGCAACGGCAUAUUGCUGUUGUGCUGACGCGGCGGGGAGGUACGCCCUUUUGGGCCAGUCUGACUCCAUAUUCACCCAUGUCUUUUGCGUACUACUUGUUUCCUUGGCGGGUUCGCCCGCCAAUUGGACCCAAUUAAACCUUUUUUGUAAUUGCAAUCAGCGUCAGCAAAACAAUGUAAUAAAUUACAACUUUCAACAACGGAUCUCUUGGUUCUGGCAUCGAUGAAGAACGCAGCGAAAUGCGAUAAGUAGUGUGAAUUGCAGAAUUCAGUGAAUCAUCGAAUCUUUGAACGCACAUUGCGCCCUUUGGUAUUCCAAAGGGCAUGCCUGUUCGAGCGUCAUUUGUACCCUCAAGCUUUGCUUGGUGUUGGGCGUUUUUGUCUCGGGUCCGCCCCGAGACUCGCCUUAAAAUCAUUGGCAGCCGGCCUACUGGUUUCGGAGCGCAGCACAUUUUUGCGCUCUGUCCAGUUGUGGUUUGCGUCCAUGAAGCGAAUAUUUUCAACGUUUGACCUCGGAUCAGGUAGGGAUACCCGCUGAACUUAAGCAUAUCAAUAAGCGGAGGAAAAGAAACCAACAGGGAUUGCCCUAGUAACGGCGAGUGAAGCGGCAACAGCUCAAAUUUGAAAUCUGGCUCUUUCAGGGUCCGAGUUGUAAUUUGCAGAGGGCGCUUUGGCUUUGGCAGCGGUCCAAGUUCCUUGGAACAGGACGUCACAGAGGGUGAGAAUCCCGUAC
rnacentral:rRNA from 1 species